rnacentral:rRNA from 1 species
UAAACUGAAGAGUUUGAUCAUGGCUCAGAUUGAACGCUGGCGGCAGGCUUCAGACAUGCAAGUCGAGCGGAAACGACAAAGGUUUACCUUUGGGCGUCGUGAGGCGUACUGGGGAGUAACGCGUAGUAAUCUGCCCUAUUGCGGGGGAUAGCCCGGGGAAACCCGGAUUAAUACCGCAUACACCCCACGGGGGAAAGGCCGGGAUCUUCGGACCGGUCGCUAUCGGAGGAGCCUGCGUUGGAUUAGCUUGUUGGUAGGGUAACGGCCUACCAAGGCCACGAUCCAUAGCUGGUCUGAGAGGAUGAUCAGCCACACUGGAACUGAGACACGGUCCAGACUUCUACGGGAGGCAGCAGUCGGGAAUAUUGGACAAUGGGGGAAACCCUGAUCCAGCCAUGCCGCGUGUGUGAAGAAGGCCUUCGGGUUGUAAAGCACUUUCAGUAGUGAGGAAGGGACCUGGGUGAAUAUCCCGGGUUCUUGACGUUAGCUACAGAAGCAGCACCGGCUAACUCCGUGCCAGCAGCCGCGGUAAUACGGAGGGUGCGAGCGUUAAUCGGAAUUACUGGGCGUAAAGCGCGCGCAGGCGGUUCGGUAAGUCAGAUGUGAAAUCCCCGGGCUUAACCUGGGAAUUGCAUUUGAUACUGCCGAACUAGAGUAUGGGAGAGGGAAGUGGAAUCUCCGGUGUAGCGGUGAAAUGCGUAGAGAUCGGAGGGAACACCAGUGGCGAAGGCGGCUUCCUGGCCCAAUACUGACGCUCAGGCGCGAAAGCGUGGGGAGCAAACAGGAUUAGAUACCCUGGUAGUCCACGCCGUAAACGAUGGGCACUAGGUGCCGGUCCUAUAGACGGGUUCGGUGCCGCAGCUAACGCAUUAAGUGCCCCGCCUGGGGACUACGGCCGCAAGGCUGAAACUCAAAGGAAUUGACGGGGGCCCGCACAAGCGGUGGAGCAUGUGGUUUAAUUCGACGCAACGCGAAAAACCUUACCUGGCCUUGACAUCCCCGGAACCUGCCAGAGAUGGCGGGGUGCCUUCGGGAACCGGGUGACAGGUGCUGCAUGGCUGUCGUCAGCUCGUGUCGU